rnacentral:rRNA from 1 species
UACGUAGGGGGCUAGCGUUGUCCGGAAUCAUUGGGCGUAAAGCGCGUGUAGGCGGUUCGGUAAGUCCGCUGUGAAAGUCGGGGGCUCAACCCUCGGAUGCCGGUGGAUACUGUCGGACUAGAGUACGGAAGAGGCGAGUGGAAUUCCUGGUGUAGCGGUGAAAUGCGCAGAUAUCAGGAGGAACACCGAUUGCGAAGGCAGCUCGCUGGGACGUAACUGACGCUGAGACGCGAAAGCGUGGGGAGCGAACAGG